UUUUGAAAACAUAAUUAUGUAACAGUAUUAUUUUACAUAUUUUUUUAUUUCUAAAUUAUAAAAUUUAAAUUAAAUUGGACCUACUGUUAAAAACUAAAUCAAAUUGGUAAUAGAUAAAAAAAUUUUGGGAAACUGUUAAAAACAUCAAAUUUUUAACACUAAUAUAUUGUGCCUGUAAAAUAUUACGGUGCAAUUAGUUAGUUUGUAAUUCAGAUUUUGUGUAUAAAAUUUGUUUUAUAAACGCAAUAUACAUAUGGUGAUUAAUUAAACUCAUUUGGUAUAGUGUUGUCGUUAGUCUAAGGGGUUAGUCGAAAUUUGAUUAAAAUUGCAUGUUCAGAAUAAUAACAAUAGGAUAGUGUAUUGGUCCACGGACUGGUUUGAUAAUGGUUUACAUCCUGGCUAUCUAUAAAUUGAUUUUACAUUUAAUAAGGAUUAAAAAUUGGUCAUGUUUACCAUUCCGGUUUUGUAGGGGUUAUAGUUAUAUUAGUUGUGUUAUAUUAAGCUAUGUUAUUAGUUAUAAAUAAAUGAUGAUUGAUUUCUAAUGAUGGUCCAUUUUAAAAAAAAUCACACAUGAAUCAAAAUUGUGACUUCUGUUUUAAUAUGUAAGAUUAGCUUGAGAAAAUUACAACCAAACAUCCCUGAAUGAUACGAGCCCACCAACGUCUCUCCUUGGAGUAAAUUCCUCUUCGUACACCUAAUUUAGAAAUGUCGACAAUGUCUCUCUGCACUUUUCUCUCACAAGCACGACAGUCAGGACUGAUGUCGAUUUGGGUUUCCGACAAGGUGGCGUCGUCUCGUUUGUACUGCCCAUUUCCGUAUAUAAUGGAGCUUUUGUGAAAUUUGAAUUAAGUUUUGCAAUACGAAUACCACUAUGCCAUAUCUACGAUUAUCACUCUUUAUAAAAGGAAUUCUUGGAUCAACAAUUGUUGUUGUGAGGAGAUAUGAUGCUUUUGAUGUUGUUAAAACGUACAUAAGAUUUAAGAUCACUCAUUUAUUGUCAGUUUUAUGUUGAUGGAAUUAACAAAGAAGGCUAAAAAAAUUUGUGGUGGGGAAGUGUUUAAAAGCUUAAAGCAUGAAGUUAACUGAAGGUUUCCUGGGGACGCUUGCUAAUGUCAAUUUGAUUCAGGUCUAUGUGUUUAUUGUUAGAAGUUUUUUCUAAUUAGCUGAAAGUGUUUAUGUAUGGAAUCACUGUUUUUUGUUGUUGCAGGGAUAUGUAAUGACUGAAUCAACGCUCAAAAGCUUUAGAAAGUAUUCUUCUGUGAGACUACUUUUUUUUGUACAUCUUAAGACUAUUUGCUCCAAAUAUGAAAACUAAGGUAAUAGAUAAGUGCUUUGAUUCUUUCCUUCCACAGAAAACAGAGGAGAGCUAGAGUUACGUUUACUUGCUUUAAGAGCAUAAAAAGGUCUUUUCGAAUGAUCUAUCAUUCCAAAACCAAAACGCGAAGAUGUACCUUUUUUUGUAGAAAGGGUUGUCAUUAAUAUUGAAUUUAGAACCAAACUUACAGAACAAAAGAAAGUAACAGAUAAAUUAAGCACAGAAGCUCUGAUCGACAAGAUCAAAUCCCCAACCAAAGAAAUUACCAAACCAACAAAACAACUCUUCACGUUUUUAAGUAAAAAAAUCAAAAUACCACUGAUAGAUAUAAAAGUACUCUGAAAUUUGAGAGGAGAUCUCAAUUAAAAUCACCAGUUCUUUUUUUGUAUUUAUAAAUCCCACCUAUAUCAACGAGAUUUACUCUGAACCACUUUAAAUCUCUAAAUCUUCUUAAAUCCAUGCAAACAUUUAAAAUCCACGGUUCAAUACACUCUUCUUAGACUCAAAAUUAUUCCGAUCCAUUUCUAUUUUUUAUUCUAUAAUAAAGAUUGAUUUUUAGAGAGGAAUGUUUGAUUAUAUAUUUGAAAAUAGCUAUUUUAAAAAUAUAUUAGAAUUAAUUUCAUUUCUAUUAUAGAAUUUAUUUAUUUCAUAGAAAAAUAACAAAAUACAUUAGAAAUGGUCUAAAGAUAAUAAUGAAAGAUCUCCAUGAAUCAGACAUGUCUAUAUGAAAUAAAAAUAUGGCCGAUUUCUAAUCCACACAAUACACCAUGUACAUAGGCUAUUGUAGCUACAGUUCAACCCAAUGCUUGAUUAUUUUUUCUUCGUCUUCUUGAUCUUGCUUUGUUGCUUCUUCUACUUCUCCUCAUCUACCUUGUGUUUCUUGGAGAGGCACACAGCACAAUCGAGAUUAUUUGACAUAUUUGUGAAAGAAGAGCUAUAUUGGCUUUGAAUCUGAGUGCCUUGUGGUAUUGAACCUUCAUGUAUGUUGUAAGAGAAGUUCAUCCGUGCUGGAAACAUAAGUUUUCUAAGCUUUAGCGGGAUUUUUCCAGACAAUCAGUUUUGAGAGUGAUCCAAUUUUUGGAGAUUAGUCUAGUUUGACACUGAUUGCAGAAUGUGACAUGUAAAAACGUUGUUUGACAUGUUGAGCAAAAAAAAUUCCUUGAGAAAACCGAGAGAUUUAAGGAAUAUAUCCUUGCAUUUUGUUUCCAGAGACAUCAAUAGUUUUGUCCCAACCAGCUCCACAUUCACUCUUUUGUUCGUCAUACCAAUCUAUGAUAGUAAGUAUCCUGAGAUUAGAAGUCCUCCAAACUCGAUGAUAUUGCACUCCAAUCAACAAAGUAAUUUGCUGGCAAGACUCCAAUGAAACAGUUUUAUGAAUGUCAAAUGUUUUGCAGUAUGUUAAAACUCAAAGAAUCUAUAGGAGAAAAUAUUGACACAUAGAACUUGUUAGAACGAAUGACAAGAAUCUGCGGACUGGGGCAGCAAUCUUAACCAUAAUGGAAACAUGUCAUUGAAUCUGCGGACUGGGGCAACAAAUACUUGGGAAGUUUCUUGAUAUCUGGUUGUGAAUAAACCGCCGGAGUGGUCAAGAUACUGGAGCCCGACGGACUAGUUGCAAUUUAUAUCAUGGGACUAUCCAGUCGAAAUUGUUAUCUCCUAUGUACAGUAUCCAAAAUUCAGAUGAUGAAGAAUAUACCCAAUCACAAGAAGACCAUGAAGCUGUUACUUCUUAGGUUAAGAUAGGACAAUGAAGGGAUCAUAAAGAGAGAUGGUGGAACAUAUCAAUGAUAUGAAUUUCCAUUUUACGUAGAGAGAUGGUGGAACAUAUCAAUGAUAAAGAAUUUCCAUUUGAGACUAUUAAGUUGUAGAGUUCUGGAUGUAGAUAAGAAUACUAUAGUUUGGAGAGGCUACUAAUGUUAGAUGGGAUCAUACCUUUGAACUGGUUAUGAGUUAUGAUUAGGCUGAUAUCGGUCGGCUCACUCAAAUUUUGUAAUAAGAAAUUCCACUCAACUCGUUAUUGCCAAGUUAUAACAUUGUUAGUAUGUUUAGAUUGCCCAUCGAAUCCGGUAGUUCAUCGGUAAGAUCAAGAUUAGAGAGUUAAGGAAAGAUUUCUGAAUACAAAAAACUGACGGUUUACAUAUUGGAAGCGGCCAAGAAGCUUGUCCCGCGAGGAGUUUUCUUUGCAUUUAAAAAAACAGUUUUUUUUGUUCAAACAGUAGAUUCAUAUGGUCAUUACACUGCAUAAAACCCCAUUCAUGGAAGUAGUUGAACUGGUUCAUCCCAGUUGCAACAAAUUUAACACUCAUAUCAUAACAAACAACAAAGACCAAAACAGAAUACCCAAGGAAACCUCGUUUAUACUUAGAGCUUCCAAAUAUGCAAAUGCAUAAGCUGCCAAAUUGCUGAAAAUGCAGGACCACAGUCCUAUUAGUUAUUAUAACCAAACUUCAUCUUUGUCAUUACGAUUCAACUGAAUCUUGGAUUCAGGGACGACUGAGGAGGGGGGACAAGCGGUGCGACCAUCCCGGGCCUAAGCCCGUGUCUCUCGUAUAUUAAUAGCGAAGGGGCUCAAUUUUUUUAAAAAGUCUAUAUUCUUAUAUAAAAAAAUUAUAAAUAUAAUAAAUAAAAUUGAAAAAGGCCCAAAAAUAUUUGAUAUGCAUAUAGUUUUAUUUCAUCACAAAAUAUACAAAAUAUUAUUGACUAAAUUAAAAAAAUAUUUUAAACAUUAUUUUAAUAUAAAUCUUAGAGGGUAAAAAAGAAAAUUUGCCCUAAGGCCCAUAAAAAUGUUAAGCCGGCUCUGCUUGGAUUGUAUCUACUUUUUCUAAAUUUUCUUGUAAUCUUCUUAUUCCUAAGAAAAAAAUUCAAAUGAUUUUGUAAAUGUUGAGAUCAAUCUAAUAUCUAAUGAUGUUACUCUUCCAAACUUUCAUAUUACUGUCCAACAAGACACCAAAGUACCAAAUUAACAACAUCCCACCAAAUUUGAUGUAGUGUGAAUAGUAACACCUAGUUUGGUGUAACACCAUUUAUCACACCAAAUAUUAAAAAUAAAUAUGUUAUUAUAUUUUAUUUAAUAAUAUAAUUCAAUUCUUAUUAUUAAUUAGUUCAAAAUUGUAAUUAAAGAUAAAUAUUGUUAUAGGCAUAUAUAUAUAUUCCAUUUAGUUUAUGUAGCUACAUUAGAUACAUGAACAACUACGUCAAAAAAAUUUACAUAGUAAAAAUUCUACGAUUACAUCGUAACAAAUCACUCCUAUUGUACCCAUUUUUAUGCAGGAUGUAUUAUUUUAUGGCUAACACCAUGCCUUAAUAAAUUAAAUUGAUGUUAAUAGAAAUUAUAAGCUAAUAUAUUUAAAUGCUUACAGCAUUUCCAACUCAUCUCUAAGAUAGGACAAAACAGAGAAGAUUUUGUUUCAAUGUAUUCAAUGUUAUAUUUCCUUCUAUUUCUAGAGGAAUGUUAGAUUUAUUUCUAAAUAUAAAAGAAAAAUAGAUUUUUUUUUCUAUAAAUGGAAGAAAAUAUAACAUUCUUAUUCUAUAUAAAUGGAAGAAAAUAUAACACUCUUAUUCUAUCAUAGAAAACUCUAAAAAAGGAAUGAGUUGGAUAUGGUGUUAGAUAUAUUCAUGAAAACAUUAAAAUCUCUUUUUUUUUUAAACAUUGGAUAACACAAUACCAUCAUCAUAUAAUAUCCAACUCUAUUACAUAUGAUGAUCAACUAUCUCCAACAUAUGCGAUAUUGAUGAACAAUUACACGGAUAAGGAUUUCACGGUAAAAAUUUCUCCUAAGCACUUUGAUCAACAGAUGGUUCUGCAUGUACGACAUCUUUGAUGGGCAUGCUCUCUCUGCAGCAGGCGACCACAACGAACGGCUCUGCCUACAGUACUUUGGAACCUUCGAUAAAUUUUGCAUCAUAUAAUCUUCAAAAAAUUACAUAGUCUAGAAUUCGAACAACAGAUGUGGGUUUAGAAGCCUUUAAACAUUUUAUUUGAAUGUAAAAAAAAAACACACUAAAAUCUGUAAUCCACUGAUUUCAGAAACUUUAUAAUAUUCAUAUUCAUUCAUAUUCAGUUUUUGUUAUGCGUUUCAUUAUUGUAUCCAUUUUGAUUCAGGAUGCAUUAUUCAUGGCUAAGAUCAUGUCUUAAUAAAUUAAAUUGAUGCUAAUUGAAAAAUAUAAGAAAAAUAGCAAAAAAAAACUAAGAAAGUAAAAUAACAUUAAAUUAAAAGUUCUCAAAGGGAAACCGAAAAACAGAGAGAGAGAGAGAGAGAGAGAGAGAGAGAGAGAGACAGAAGUUGCAAAACAGAGAAAACAAGAACAAAGGAAAGACAACAACUUAUGUAAAAGUUGGCAAAUAUUACACGCAUGUAAAUCUCUGGCCAACUCUACAACUUAUUAUUAAAUUAUAAAAUGC